GCGGACGUGGUGGAAUCGGCAGACACGCAAGACUUAGGAUCUUGUCCCGCAAGGGGUGAGGGUUCAAAUCCCUCCGUCCGCA
rnacentral:tRNA from 1 species